GGACUACUGACUUUAUCAAAUACAUGCUUUUGUGGAUUAUCAUUCUGGGUGGAAAAUUUGCAUUUGCCUAUUUUCUUCAGAUCAAGCCUCUUGUUGAACCUACCAGGCUUAUUGUAAAUAUGAGAGAUAUAAGAUAUUCGUGGCAUGACUUUGUGUCUAAAAAUAAUCAUAAUGCUUUGACUAUUCUUAGCUUAUGGGCCCCCGUGGUCGCUAUUUAUAUCUUGGACGUUCAUGUGUUCUAUACUAUUAUAUCGGCUAUUUGG
rnacentral:misc_RNA from 1 species